rnacentral:rRNA from 1 species
CCUACGGGCGGCAGCAGUGGGGAAUAUUGGACAAUGGGGGGAACCCAGAUCCAGCCAUGCCGCGUGUGUGAAGAAGGCCCUCGGGUUGUAAAGCACUUUCAGUGAGGAAGAACGCCUGGUGGUUAAUACCCAUCAGGAAAGACAUCACUCACAGAAGAAGCACCGGCUAACUCCGUGCCAGCAGCCGCGGUAAUACGGAGGGUGCGAGCGUUAAUCGGAAUUACUGGGCGUAAAGCGCGCGUAGGUGGCUUGAUAAGCCGGUUGUGAAAGCCCCGGGCUCAACCUGGGAACGGCAUCCGGAACUGUCAAGCUAGAGUGCAGGAGAGGAAGGUAGAAUUCCCGGUGUAGCGGUGAAAUGCGUAGAGAUCGGGAGGAAUACCAGUGGCGAAGGCGGCCUUCUGGACUGACACUGACACUGAGGUGCGAAAGCGUGGGUAGCAAACAGGAUUAGAUACCCCUGUAGUC